GACGAACGCUGGCGGCGUGCUUAACACAUGCAAGUCGAACGAAGUGGCGAACGGGUGAGUAACGCGUAAUCAACCUGCCCUUCAGAGGGGGACAACAGUUGGAAACGACUGCUAAUACCGCAUACUGAAGGAGGGGAUUGCGUCUGAUUAGCUAGUUGGAGGGGUAACGGCCCACCAAGGCGAUGAUCAGUAGCCGGGCUGGAGGGAUGAACGGCACAAAUUGGACUGGGACACGGCCCAGGAUCCUUAGGGAGGCAGCAGGGGGGAAUCUUCCGAAAUGGACGAAAGUCUGACGGAGCAACGCCGGGUGAGAGAUGACGGCCUUCGGGUUGUAAAACUAUUUUAAUCGGGACACGGUACCGGAAUAGAAAGCCACGGCUAACUACGUGCCAGCCGCCGCGGUAAUAC
rnacentral:rRNA from 1 species